rnacentral:rRNA from 1 species
GACGAACGCUGGCGGCGUGCCUAAUACAUGCAAGUAGAACGCUGAAGGAGGAGCUUGCUCUUCUGGAUGAGUUGCGAACGGGUGAGUAACGCGUAGGUAACCUGCCUGGUAGCGGGGGAUAACUAUUGGAAACGAUAGCUAAUACCGCAUAAGAGUAGAUGUUGCAUGACAUUUGCUUAAAAGGUGCAAUUGCAUCACUACCAGAUGGACCUGCGUUGUAUUAGCUAGUUGGUGGGGUAACGGCUCACCAAGGCGACGAUACAUAGCCGACCUGAGAGGGGGAUCGGCCACCCUGGGACUGAGACACGGCCCAGACUCCUACGGGAGGCAGCAGUAGGGGAUCUUCGGCAAUGGACGGAAGUCUGACCGAGCAACGCCGCGUGAGUGAAGAAGGUUUUCGGAUCGUAAAGCUCUGUUGUAAGAGAAGAACGAGUGUGAGAGUGGAAAGUUCACACUGUGACGGUAUCUUACCAGAAAGGGACGGCUAACUACGUG